rnacentral:rRNA from 1 species
UACGUAGGGUGCAAGCGUUGUCCGGAAUUAUUGGGCGUAAAGAGCUCGUAGGCGGUCUGUCGCGUCUGCUGUGAAAACUCAGGGCUUAACCCUGAGCUUGCAGUGGGUACGGGCAGACUAGAGUGCGGUAGGGGAGACUGGAAUUCCUGGUGUAGCGGUGAAAUGCGCAGAUAUCAGGAGGAACACCGGUGGCGAAGGCGGAUCUCUGGGCCAUUACUGACGCUGAGGAGCGAAAGCGUGGGGAGCAAACAGG